rnacentral:rRNA from 1 species
AUGGCGGAGAGCCACGAGGUGGACCGCCGGGGCGAGUCCUUCUUGCUCUCGCUCUCCUCCUCCCGGCCGCCGCGCCGCCCGCCGCCGAAGAGGGUUGCCAGGAAGGACCGCCUCCGGUGGAAGGACUUCUUCCGCUCGCUCUCCCGGGGCUCGUCGUCGGCGGCGCGGGUGGCGGGGCCGACCUGCGGCGUGCUGAAGAAGAGGAGCUCGGGGCGGUGGCUGUGGCUGUGGCGGGACGACGUGUACGCGCAGGCGUCGGAGCGCCGGUGCUGCUGCGCCACCGGAGCGGCGGCGAAGGGCGACGCGCGCGCAGGCGAGCUGCCCCGGCUGCUGCUGCUGCUGCAGUCGGCGCCGCUGCUGGCCCCGGCCCCGGCCCGGUCGCGCUCGGCGGCGAGCACGAGGAGGCGGUCGCGGAGGCAGGGCGCGCAGACGCCCAGCGCGUUCGCGUACGGGUGGAGCUUGCACCUCAUCGGCCCUCCCCUCCUCGCCGGAUCACCAGGCGCGCAUCUCCGGCGAGGGGCGGUUGGGCUCGCGGAGGCAGAUCGCGGGCGGGGCACGAGGAGGAUCCGCGGAGCGUGCGGUGGUUGGGUGGGUUCGGAUUGCUGGAGCGUGCGCUGCAGCUUGGAUUUUUGUCGCCUUGGUUGGCUCGCUCGCUCGAGAGGGAGAGGGAGGACGGGACUGGAGGAGUGGUUGGGCGAUGCUGUAAUGCCCGGACGGACGGAUGGAUUUAUUUGGGACGGUGCGGUGCGGUACGGCCCCGGCCGCACCCUGGUCUACUCUAUCUAUUCCAAGGCACCGGUGCUGUUCCGUCUAGCGUUACGGAAUCACCCUCCUCUCAUCUCUCCGUUCGGUUUUAUUCGUUGCAAGUGA